rnacentral:lncRNA from 1 species
AGCUGGUACCUGGGAUCGGGCAGGACGGUCCUCUUGCUGGCGCGGGCGGCCGGAGUCGCCUUGCUCUUCUCCAUGGCCAUCAGGUAAUGAUGAAGCCCCUGCUCUGGUCCAAGCUACCUGUGAACAGCGCCCAGCGGGCCGGGCCCCCAACCUCGCUCCUGAACGUACCCGCAAGCCCGCCGUGAGAAUUCAGCGAAGAGUAAAGGCUGGAGAAAGUUGCGUGUCUCAGGCUAAGCAGAGCAAAGUGGGGUGAGGGCUUCGCCGCUAGGAACAGAGAUGCCCUUAGGGAGCCCCCUGAUGGAAGAGCUCUCUGCUUAAGAAGGUCAGCACGCCCUUACACUCAGUUUUACCACGUUUUUCAAGAUCCAAGGCACAAUAGGCAUAAAGUUAUCCUGAAAAGGACAAGAGGAGUGUCAGAAGUAGGAAUGGCAGUCGAAGGAGCUUCGUCUGGCAGCAGAAAGCCAAAAUGACAGGAGAUGUUGCUGAGAUGGGUGCAUUAAAGUUUAGGCUUUCCAGAGUUUAUAUUGCUAACGACUUGAAAGGAAAAAAGCUAACUAGAGAACUGACUGGUCUUAUUUGUUUUAGAUUUCGGGCUUUACUAAGACUUCCUACACUCAAUCUCUGGACUGUAAAUGCUGGGUGGGGUGGGAGCUGGGAAUGUUAUUCUGGGAAAUUAAUCACAAAUGAAAAGAAAAUCAACUCUAAGACUUCAAUUACAAGAUUUUUGAAAAUGGCAGAACAUGGCUGGCCUUCAUUCAAGUCCGAAUAUUUAAAGCAAUCCUUGCUAAGAAGAACUUGAUUUUAUAUAAGGAGUCCCUUAAAUACAGUUGCUUCUCAAGAAAACCACACACAAUUGAUGUUUGAAUGGCUUUAUUUACAAACAUCUCACUCUGUAAGCCUCUGCAGGUAUUUCUAGCCUCCCUGGGAGGCCACUGUCCCGUUUCACCUGUAAUUUGGAUCACAAUUCUGUUUGUUGUCACACACAUCAUACGAGCUGCUUUUCAUGCUACUUUUAUCCACAAAGCUUUACAAACUUUAAUGGCAGCUCUAUAUAUGACAACUUUAAAAAGAUCUGCCAAAAGGUAUGAUGCCAAGCUUUGGUUUUAUUAAACUAUUAGCUAUUAGCACUGAAACGAUGUUCAGUAGAGAAGUACUCUCCUUUCGAUAUGUGAGUGGAAACACAUUUCUCUAUGGGGACUGCUGGUCAGGGAGUCACUCUAAAGAAAAGUGACAGUGUUGUUGUUGUUGUGGUUCAGAGCAUGGGCUCAAAAGUCAAAUGGCCUGAAUAAGAAGCCCGAGACCAGUCCUUCUGAGCUGUGUGACCUUAGACAAGUUGUCUAAUCUCUCUGUGUCUCAGCUCUGCCUCAGUGUUGUUAACGGGAUUGCCGUGAGAGCAAUGCUGUAACAUGUAAAAAGUGCUUAGAACUGUGUCUGGCCCUCUCCCCUCUCCCCUCUUCCCC